GCGCAAUUACUUGCCUUUUAAUUGAAGGCCUGUACGAACGGACCCACGAAAGCCUAACUGUCUCACAACUAUAAAAGGAAACUAAUCUUUAAGUGAAAAAGCUUAACUCAAAUAAAAAGACAAGAAGACCCUGUAGAGCUUAACUCAUACAUCUAUAACCUCAACCUAUUUUUACAAUCACCUCUAGCCCAAGAGUUUUGCUGGGGCAGCAAGAGACCAACAAAAACGUCUCCUUACAACCAAGACCCUAAGUCACCCACCAGACCCCCUCCUCUUCUUAGAAGACCCAGGGAACUUAAAACAUAGCUACCUCAGGGAUAACAGACUAAUUUGUCUUAAAAGUCCACAUUAACAGACAAGU
rnacentral:rRNA from 1 species